CACCUAUUUAAUCAGUUGCUCUCAUUUGCAGUAAUUGCAAAUUCGGUCAUGCCUAUCUUUCGAACAAACUGUUGUUACUUUGGACUACAUGUCCACUAUUAACGCCCUCAACACCAAUUUAGCCAGCAUGCUGGUUCUUCUCAUGUUAUUUAUUUCCGAAUUGUUAGUAAUUGUCUAGAUAUUUUUCAUUUUAAUAUUCAUACAUGUAAACUUGGAUGAUUGAUUUUCAGGUUGAGACUACUGAUCCUUUGGUUGGGAAAGCCUGCCAGACGCGAAACAAACACAAUGCCACAUUGGGCUGGUUCAUGCUGGUACUAUUUGAGAUUUAUGGACCCUAAAAAUUCGGAAGCAUUGGUUGAUAAGAUGAAAGAAAUGUAGUGGAGCCCUGCUGAUGUGUAUGUUGGCGGUGCUGAACAUGCUGUUCUUCACUUACUUUAUUCCAGGUUCUGGCACAAGGUUUAUGCUCCCAAUUGUAUUCACUACAAGAAAAUUGGCAUACCAUAGCGUUUAUACAACUUCGUUUUAAAAAAAUGCCAUUUUUUUAGUGGUUUCCGUGUUUUACUUAAAAAAAGAAAAAA